ensembl:lncRNA
AUUACGCACGUAUUUGCUGUAAAGCACUUUGAGCUGCAUUCUUUUGCAUGAAAGGUGCUAUAUAAAUAACGUUUUAUUAUUAUUUGUGCUCUACCAUCUUAUAGAUACUACAAUGGACCCAGAAGAGACGCUGCUCAGAGGCUCAUCUGGAACCUCCUCACCUACGUCAACUCCACCACCUUCUACUCCACUGCGUGCUACCUCCUCAGUUAGGUCGACUCUAGCUUGCACUCCACCACCUUCAACUACUCCACUGCGUGCUACAAUUACCGAUGAUCUACCUGGAACAAGGACCCAGCAAACAAGGCAAAUGAGAGACGUCGAUGUGCUCGUAAACCAGAUGCAAGUCAUGACUCAACAAUGGAAGGAGGACAUGGCAAUAAGUGAGGCCCGGGAGGAACGGUUGAUCGCCAGCAUCCUCCGCACUGACAGUAUGGUUGAGAAGCUAAUGCAGAGAAUGGAUAACAUUCAACCUCAACCAAACACAUUCUCACCACCAGCACAACAUCAACCACCGCAAAAUGCGUAUUAUGGUUAUGGAUAUAUAUAUAUAUAUACACACACAAUCAGAAUUUAUAUAUAG